rnacentral:rRNA from 1 species
AACCUGCCUUCAACAGGGGGAUAACACUCCCAACGGGGUGCUAAUACCGCAUGAGACCACGGGGUCGCAUGGCCCAGGGGUCAAAGGUGGCCUCUAUUUAUAAGCUACCGGUUGAAGAUGGCUUCGCGUCCCAUUAGCUAGUUGGCGGUGUAAAAGACCACCAAGGCGACGAUGGGUAGCUGGUCUGAGAGGAUGGUCAGCCACACUGGGACUGAGAUACGGCCCAG